rnacentral:rRNA from 1 species
GUAGGUGGCAAGCGUUGUCCGGAAUUAUUGGGCGUAAAGCGCGCGCAGGUGGGUCUUUAAGUCUGAUGUGAAAGCCCCCGGGCUCAACCGGGGAGGGUCAUUGGAAACUGGGGAACUUGAGUGCAGGAGAGGAAAGUGGAAUUCCACGUGUAGCGGUGAAAUGCGUAGAUAUGUGGAGGAACACCAGUGGCGAAGGCGACUUUCUGGCCUGUAACUGACACUGAGGCGCGAAAGCGUGGGGAGCAAACAGGAUUGGAUACCCUGGUAGUCCACGCCGUAAACGAUGAGUGCUAAGUGUUGGGGGGUUUCCGCCCCUCAGUGCUGCAGCUAACGCAUUAAGCACUCCGCCUGGGGAGUACGGUCGCAAGACUG